rnacentral:rRNA from 1 species
UACGUAGGGUGCAAGCGUUGUCCGGAAUUAUUGGGCGUAAAGAGCUCGUAGGCGGCUUGUCACGUCGGCUGUGAAAACCUGGGGCUCAACCCCGGGCCUGCAGCCGAUACGGGCAAGCUAGAAUUCGGUAGGGGAGACUGGAAUUCCUGGUGUAGCGGUGAAAUGCGCAGAUAUCAGGAGGAACACCGGUGGCGAAGGCGGCUUGCUGGGCCAGUUCUGACGCUGAGGAGCGAAAGCGUGGGGAGCGAACAGG